CACUACUCAAGCCUCGCUUGGUAUUGGGCGAUAGGGCCGACCUACGCCUCAAUCUCACCGGCUGGACCGAUGGUAUCUCAGCGUUGUGACAUCAAAUCUCGCUCAAGGUACCGGAGGCGCGCGGCCGCAAAUAACCGGGACGUCAGUCCAUCCAGG
rnacentral:misc_RNA from 1 species